rnacentral:rRNA from 1 species
GAUGAACGCUGGCGGCGUGCCUAAUACAUGCAAGUCGAGCGAACGGACGAGAAGCUUGCUUCUCUGAUGUUAGCGGCGGACGGGUGAGUAACACGUGGAUAACCUACCUAUAAGACUGGGAUAACUUCGGGAAACCGGAGCUAAUACCGGAUAAUAUUUUGAACCGCAUGGUUCAAAAGUGAAAGACGGUCUUGCUGUCACUUAUAGAUGGAUCCGCGCUGCAUUAGCUAGUUGGUAAGGUAACGGCUUACCAAGGCAACGAUGCAUAGCCGACCUGAGAGGGUGAUCGGCCACACUGGAACUGAGACACGGUCCAGACUCCUACGGGAGGCAGCAGUAGGGAAUCUUCCGCAAUGGGCGAAAGCCUGACGGAGCAACGCCGCGUGAGUGAUGAAGGUCUUCGGAUCGUAAAACUCUGUUAUUAGGGAAGAACAUAUGUGUAAGUAACUGUGCACAUCUGGACGGUACCUAAGCAGAAAACCACGGCUAACUACGU